rnacentral:rRNA from 1 species
CAGCACCUCAAGUGGUCAGGAUGAUUAUUGGGCCUAAAGCAUCCGUAGCCGGCGCUGCAAGUUUUCGGUUAAAUCUGUACGCUCAACGUACAGGCUGCCGGGAAUACUGCAGCGCUAGGGAGUGGGAGAGGUAGACGGUACUCGGUAGGAAGGGGUAAAAUCCUUUGAUCUAUUGAUGACCACCUGUGGCGAAGGCGGUCUACCAGAACACGUCCGACGGUGAGGGAUGAAAGCUGGGGGAGCAAACCGGAUUAGAGACCCGAGUAGUCC